rnacentral:rRNA from 1 species
AUUGAACGCUGGCGGCAGGCUUAACACAUGCAAGUCGAGCGAGCGGCGGACGGGUGAGUAAUGUAUGGGAAUCUGCCUGAUGGAGGGGGAUAACUACUGGAAACGGUAGCUAAUACCGCAUACCAUCAGAUGAACCCAAGUGGGAUUAGCUAGUAGGGGGGGUAAUGGCUCACCUAGGCGACGAUCCCUAGCUGGUCUGAGAGGAUGACCAGCCACACUGGAACUGGUACACGGUCCAGACGCCUACGGGAGGCAGCAGUGGGGAAUAUUGCACAAUGGGCGCAAGCCUGAUGCAGCCAUGCCGCGUGUGUGAAGAAGGCCUUCGGGUUGUAAAGCACUUUCAGCGGGGAGGCGUUACUCGCAGAAGAAGCACCGGCUAACUCCGUGCCAGCAGCCGCGGUAAUUC